GACGAACGCUGGCGGCGUGCUUAACACAUGCAAGUCGAACGGAAAGGCCCUGCUUUUGUGGGGUGCUCGAGUGGCGAACGGGUGAGUAACACGUGAGUAACCUGCCCUUGACUUUGGGAUAACUUCAGGAAACUGGGGCUAAUACCGGAUAGGAGCUCCUGCUGCAUGGUGGGGGUUGGAAAGUCUCGGCGGUUGGGGAUGGACUCGCGGCUUAUCAGCUUGUUGGUGGGGUAGUGGCUUACCAAGGCUUUGACGGGUAGCCGGCCUGAGAGGGUGACCGGCCACAUUGGGACUGAGAUACGGCCCAGACGCCUACGGGAGGCAGCAGUGGGGAAUAUUGCACAAUGGGAGGAAGCCUGAUGCAGCGACGCCGCGUGCGGGAUGACGGCCUUCGGGUUGUAAACCGCUUUCGCCUGUGACGAAGCGUGAGUGACGGUAAUGGGUAAAGAAGCACCGGCUAACUACGUG
rnacentral:rRNA from 1 species